GUAGGUGGCAAGCGUUGUCCGGAAUUAUUGGGCGUAAAGCGCGCGCAGGCGGUUCUUUAAGUCUGAUGUGAAAGCCCACGGGCUCAACCGUGGAGGGUCAUUGGAAACUGGAGAACUUGAAUACAGAAGAGGAAAGCGGAAUUCCACGUGUAGCGGUGAAAUGCGUAGAGAUGUGGAGGAACACCAGUGGCGAAGGCGGCUUUCUGGUCUGUAACUGACGCUGAGGCGCGAAAGCGUGGGGAGCAAACAGGAUUAGAUACCCUGGUAGUCCACGCCGUAAACGAUGAGUGCUAAGUGUUAGGGGGUUUCCGCCCCUUAGUGCUGCAGCUAACGCAUUAAGCACUCCGCCUGGGGAGUACGGCCGCAAAGGCUG
rnacentral:rRNA from 1 species